rnacentral:rRNA from 1 species
AAUUCGAUGCAACGCGAAGAACCUUACCAGGUCUUGACAUCUGUAGAAUCCGGUUGAAAGAUCGGAGUGCCUUCGGGAGCUACAAGACAGGUGGUGCAUGGUUGUCGUCAGCUCGUGUCGUGAGAUGUUGGGUUAAGUCCCGCAACGAGCGCAACCCUUGCUAUUAGUUGCUAACAGGUAGAGCUGAGCACUCUAAUGGGACUGCCCGUGACAAGCGGGAGGAAGGUGGGGAUGACGUCAAAUCAUCAUGCCCUUUAUGAUCUGGGCUACACACGUGCUACAAUGGAUGGUACAGAGAGCAGCGAGGCCGCGAGGUGGAGCGAAUCUCAAAAAGCCAUUCUCAGUUCGGAUUGCAGUCUGCAACUCGACUGCAUGAAGUCGGAAUCGCUAGUAAUCGCGAAUCAGCACGUCGCGGUGAAUGCGUUCCCGGGCCUU